UACGGGGGGGGCAAGCGUUGUUCGGAAUUACUGGGCGUAAAGGGCUCGUAGGUGGCCAACUAAGUCAGACGUGAAAUCCCUCGGCUUAACCGGGGAACUGCGUCUGAUACUGGAUGGCUAGAGUUUGGGAGAGGGAUGCGGAAUUCCAGGUGUAGCGGUGAAAUGCGUAGAUAUCGGAAGGAACGCCGGUGGCGAAAGCGACGUGCUGGACCUCUUCUGACGCUGAGGCGCGAAAGCCAGGGGAGCGAACGGG
rnacentral:rRNA from 1 species